rnacentral:rRNA from 1 species
UACGUAGGGUGCGAGCGUUGUCCGGAAUUAUUGGGCGUAAAGAGCUUGUAGGCGGUCUGUCGCGUCUGCUGUGAAAAUCCGGGGCUCAACCCCGGACUUGCAGUGGGUACGGGCAGACUAGAGUGUGGUAGGGGAGAUUGGAAUUCCUGGUGUAGCGGUGAAAUGCGCAGAUAUCAGGAGGAACACCGGUGGCGAAGGCGGAUCUCUGGGCCUUACCUGACGCUCAGGUGCGAAAGCUAGGGGAGCGAACAGG